AUUGUUGUGUUACAGCUGGUCUUGUUAUCUGUGACGUCAGAGAUAAGUACCAGACACCAGACAAGAUGGCCGCUCCAAGAUUGUCCUUUCUAUUUUUCGUCUUAUUUAUUUCGGCAGGCUGUGGUCAGCUGAUCACACCUUACCAGUCCUGUCAGAUGAAGUGUAUCCAAGACAUCAAUCAUUACGUCACACCUGAGUCGAAGCCUCUCUUUCAACAAGGAUGUCAACAGUACUGUCAGCUACACGCUUAUGACGAUUUGCUGGCACAGAUUGGUGGUCAGACAAUUCUGUAAACAGGACAGUGAUGUUUGGUUAGAACACAUCAGUGGAUGUCAGUCUAUGGACAUCAUGUCAGCACUUGCUGUCUAGUGUAGUAAAAUAAAAAUACAGGAAGAUUUGUUAUAC